AACGAACGCUGGCGGCAUGCCUAACACAUGCAAGUCGAACGAGUUCUUCGGGUCUAGUGGCGCACGGGUGCGUAACGCGUGGGAAUCUGCCCUUUGGUUCGGAAUAACAGUUGGAAACGACUGCUAAUACCGGAUGAUGAUGAAAGUCCAAAGAUUUAUCGCCAGAGGAUGAGCCCGCGUAGGGUUAGCUAGUUGGUGUGGUAAAGGCGCACCAAGGCGACGAUCCUUAGCUGGUCUGAGAGGAUGAUCAGCCACACUGGGACUGAGACACGGCCCAGACUCCUACGGGAGGCAGCAGUGGGGAAUAUUGGACAAUGGGCGAAAGCCUGAUCCAGCAAUGCCGCGUGAGUGAUGAAGGCCUUAGGGUUGUAAAGCUCUUUUACCCUGGAUGAUAAUUACAGUACCGGGAGAAUAAGCUCCGGCUAACUCCGUGCCAGCCGCCGCCGUAACAC
rnacentral:rRNA from 1 species